UACGUAGGUGGCAAGCGUUGUCCGGAUUUACUGGGCGUAAAGAGCGCGCAGGCGGUCGUACAAGUCGCGUGUGAAAGCCCCCGGCUCAACUGGGGAGGGUCACGCGAUACUGUUCGACUCGAAGGCGGGAGAGGGAAGCAGAAUUCCCGGUGUAGUGGUGAAAUGCGUAGAUAUCGGGAGGAAUACCAGUGGCGAAGGCGGCUUCCUGGCCUGUUCUUGACGCUGAGGCGCGAAAGCUAGGGUAGCAAACGGG
rnacentral:rRNA from 1 species